rnacentral:rRNA from 1 species
UACGAAGGGGGCAAGCGUUACUCGGAUUUACUGGGCGUAAAGCGUGCGUAGGUGGUUAUGUAAGUUGGAAGUGAAAGCCUAGAGCUCAACUCUAGAAUGGCUUUCAAGACUGCAUAGCUAGAGUACUAGAGAGGAUAGCAGAAUUCCUAGUGUAGAGGUGAAAUUCGUAGAUAUUAGGAGGAAUACCGGAAGCGAAAGCGGCUAUCUGGCUAGUUACUGACACUGUUGCACGAAAGCGUGGGGAGCAAACAGG